GGUGUGAAAAGAAAUAAGGAAAAGACCCAUUUUUUUUUAUUAUUAUUUAUGAAAUGGUAUGGGAAUUUAUUAAGACAAUUAUAAAGGAAGAGAAUAGGCAACUAUGUAUAUUCUACCCUAGUAUUCGGCCAACCCAUUAUAAGUAGAAAAGAAAGAAAAUUUGUUAUUCCUUUUCAUCACAUCAAGCCACUAGCCCAUAUAGUUGUAUAGAGAGAGAGGGAGUGGCGUGAGGUGGCUGCCAUUUCUAGAGAGAAGAAAGGAAGAAGAAGAAGAAGAAAAGGGUCCAAUCUAGGGGUUUGAGCAAGGAGGUUAUUGGAUUCUUGAUUGGAUUAGAUUCUUGAUUUUUUGUCAAGAAGAGGCUCGUUGAGAGAUUGUGAAAUUUCUUAGCUCGGACCUGAGGUAGCAAAUAGGAUUUCUCUGUGGCACGCAUGGUGACGUGAGGAGUUCUAUCGUCGUAGGGUGUAUGGCGUGGGGUAUCCCAUGGACGGAAUAAACGAUCACUUUAGGACGCCAUUUUAAUUAUGUUAUGUUUUAAGAGACUUUUUAAAUUAUUAGUGAGACUUAAUUAUUUAAUUUUGUUUCUUUUGAACUUUGCAUAAAAACUCAUAUUUUCUUUUUAAACUAAUGGGCCCAACUUGCAUUGUUUUAAGCAAGUCCCCACUGAGACCUUUAUAAAAAAGUGGUUUUCUUUAUGGACCAAUGAUAUGUGAAUGGUUUAUUAAGUACUA